rnacentral:rRNA from 1 species
AAUGAGAAGUUUAAUGGCCGCAGUAUUUUGACNGNGCAAAGGUAGCAUAAUCAUUAGUUUUUUAAUUAAAAACUGGAAUGAAAGGNNGGACGAGAAAAUAUCUGUCUCUUUUUUAAUUAUUUAGAAUUUUAUUUUUAAGUUAAAAAGCUUAAAUUUUUUUAAAAGACGAGAAGACCCUAUAGAAUUUUAUAUACAUAUUAAGUUAAAUAGUUUUAUUAGGAUUUUAAAAAUUUUACUUUAUAUAUAUUUAGUUGGGGUGAUUGAAAAAUUUUAUAAACUUUUUUUUAAUAAAUACAUAAAUUUAUGAAUUUUUGAUCCAUAUGAAUGAUUAAAAGAUUAAAUUACCUUAGGGAUAACAGCGUUAUUUCUUUGAAGAGUUCAAAUCGAUAAAGAAGUUUGCGACCUCGAUGUUGGAUUAAAAUUUAUUUUUGGUGUAGAAGCUAAAAAAUUAGGUCUGUUCGACCUUUAAAAUUUUACAUGAUCUGAGUUUAAACCGGCGUGAGCCAGGUUGGUUUCUAUCUUUAAAAUUUUUAAUAUAUUUUAGUACGAAAGGACCAAAUAUACAUAAUAAUUAU